GCCCGAGUGGUGGAAGUGGUAGACACAAGGGAUUUAAAAUCCCUCGGCUUACGAGCUGUGCCGGUUCAAGUCCGGCCUCGGGUA
rnacentral:tRNA from 1 species